rnacentral:rRNA from 1 species
UACAGAGGUCUCAAGCGUUGUUCGGAUUCAUUGGGCGUAAAGGGUGCGCAGGUGGCGAGGCAAGUCGGAUGUGAAAUCCCGGGGCUCAACCCCGGAACUGCAUUCGAUACUGCCUUGCUAGAGUGCUGGAGAGGAGAGUGGAAUCCCGGUGUAGCAGUGAAAUGCGUAGAGAAUCGGGAGGAACAUCAGUUGCGAAGGGCGGCUCUCUGGACCAGCACUGACACUGAGGCACGAAAGCGUGGGGAGCAAACAGGA